rfam:Oryctes borbonicus contig18967, whole genome shotgun sequence.
GAAUCGGUUCUUUUCAGAACCACAAACGGUAUUCCUAAAAGGGGAA